AGGUGUGAGGGCAUGGGUGAGGUGCCUCUGCCCAACGGCCCUCAGAGGCUGCAGCUGUGCCCAGACCCGUGGGUGGCUCUGCCUCAGACCAGCCCUGAGGCCUUGCUGUGAGUUGCACUGGAUGGGGCUUCUGCUCGAUGCCUCACUCAUUGGGGAACAGAUUCCUACCAUGUUUACUGAGCUAUCGGAAGCACAAAUAGACCUUAGUGUUAUGAUAUAAACCUGCUAGAAAUACUGAGAAACAACACAGACCUGGCCACAAUGUAUGAAGAAAUGCAGCUUUGGUAGAUGCUCUCCACAAAAAACAGCUAUUCAUACAAAAUAUGCACUGGAAACAACGUGAACCAGCUGUGAAUAUUAAUGACAACGAUGGCUUCCCAGGGUACUCCUGACCAAAGCCUACAUGCUAACAUCAUUGAGUUGGAUAAAGAAAAAUUUCCCAGGGAGAUGCAAGCCUAGAUUUUCACAUAUCUCAAGUUGAAUAAAUGUUGUCUUUGGGCUCUGAACCACCAGCUGUAUAGGGCAGAAAGGUCGGUCCCUCACAUCGCAGAGUGAAAGUUCUUUACACUGAAUAGCAACGCAGCUCCUGAGUCUCUGCUGUUUGAAUGGAACCGCCUGGAUGGUCAGUGGUAUG